AUUAGUAUUAGUUAUGUUCUUGAAAAUUAAAAGAUUUGGCGGUACUUUAGUCUAUUCAGAGGAACUUGUCCUGUAAUUGAUAAUCCACGAUUUACUUUACUUUUUUUUUUAAUUUAUAUAUCGUCGUGUUUGAAAAUUUUAUAAGAAUUAAUAAUUUUCAAAAUUUUAAAUUAAAAAUUAAAUCAGAUCAAGAUGUAGUUUAUAAAAAAGAAGAGAUGAGUUACAUUAAAUUUAUUUGAAGAUUUUUAUUAGAAUAAUAUUUUAAAUAUGGAUUUGAUAGUAAUUUUAAUUAAUUAAUUAAAAUGAUUUUAGCUCUAAAGUAUGUAC
rnacentral:rRNA from 1 species